rnacentral:misc_RNA from 1 species
GCGGCCCUGACCUCGGCGAAGGUGAAGCUCUUGAGGUUGGAGGAAUUGAGGAUGUCGCCCUCGCUGCGCGGCGUCGGAGGGACGGAGGAGGAUGAGACGCGGCUGCUGCCGGAGCCGCUGGCGGUGAGGCCGAGCUUCCCGUCCUUGCUGCUGCUGUUCCGGCGGGAGUUGACUGAACAGGAGGAGGAGACGUGGUGGAUCUCCGGCUUGAAGCGGGCGCAGGAGUUGCCCAUCAGAGAUUUUGAUGGUUGAUGAAAGGGGAUUGGGGGGAGAUUGGGGAUUUAGGGAUUGGGGGGCCUCAUGGGGCUUGU